AUUGAACGCUGGCGGCAGGCCUAACACAUGCAAGUCGAGCGGAUGAAGGGAGCUUGCUCCUGGAUUCAGCGGCGGACGGGUGAGUAAUGCCUAGGAAUCUGCCUGGUAGUGGGGGAUAACGUCCGGAAACGGGCGCUAAUACCGCAUACGUCCUGAGGGAGAAAGUGGGGGUCUUCGGACCUCACUCUAUCAGGUGAGCCUAGGUCGGGUUAGCUAGUUGGUGGGGUAAAGGCCUACCAAGGCGACGAUCCGUAACUGGUCUGAGAGGAUGAUCAGUCACACUGGAACUGAGACACGGUCCAGACUCCUACGGGAGGCAGCAGUGGGGAAUAUUGGACAAUGGGCGAAAGCCUGAUCCAGCCAUGCCGCGUGUGUGAAGAAGGUCUUCGGAUUGUAAAGCACUUUAAGUUGGGAGGAAGGGCAGUAAGUUAAUACCUUGCUGUUUUGACGUUACCAACAGAAUAAGCACCGGCUAACUUCGUG
rnacentral:rRNA from 1 species